AAUGAGUUUUGUUGAGGCGGGUGCUCUACAAGUGGAGCGAGCGGUAUACAUUUUUUUUUAAAUUGUUCAAUUUAGAAAUUUAUGUACAUGUUAAAACUUGGUAAUUUCAAAGAAAAAGGAAGAGAAACAUGCUCUUAUGCAUAUAAUUUGAUGUAUUUGUGCCUGUAGUACAGUCUAUACCAUACCCAACUUUCUGGUUCGCUUUGGUUUAGUAUAAUUUUGACUAAUUUGGUCAAGUAAACUUCAACUGC
rnacentral:lncRNA from 1 species